rnacentral:lncRNA from 1 species
CUAAAAUCCUCAUCACCUCCCUCGUGGUUCCUGGGGGUGUGCCUGAAGUUUGAGGGUCAGAGCAGGAAGUGAGGGGCCAGCCAGACCCGAGGAGACCAAGCUGUGUGCUUGCUGCCCUCUGACCCCUGGGGCGGAGGGCAGGGGCCUCCUUCCACGGAAGGGACUCCUGUUGGGAGGCAGUCUAGGCUUUUGCUUUCUUUCUCUGCCCUUGGGCCCACCAGCAGUAGGCUAAUGUGCUUUCUGUGUUUCCACGAGAAGGUGGCUGAAGGCAGGAUCUCCCAGACUUUGAUCAGGAAGAGUCUUUGCUGGCAGCGCAUCUAUCAAUGUCUCCAGAACAACGUUCCUCAUGGCACACUGAUCGAACGUGGUGAGUAUAGCAGGUGAAUAAACUCCGGCCAAUGGCUAAGAUAAGGGAAAUAAUCCUUGUGUAGUGCUUUCAUCUUGCUUUCAACUUUAAAUGUUAGUUUUUCUUUAAGCAAGGCCUUCUGACUCACUGGGGCUCUUGGCGCAAGGUGUGUUUGCAUUUCAAAGUCUUACGUUUCCCAACAAAGCCAAGCUCUGAAAACAUGUUUUGCUGUGAUGAAGACCUUUCUGAGAUUCUAAAGGAAAACAAAAGCACAACGAGGGUCCUGGUGUCGGUCCUCCCCAAAACUCAGAUUGAUAACUUUCAACACCCAGAAAUUGUUUGAGAACCUGACAACUCCAAGGAUGGCUCCAGAGCUCCUCCUGCUCCACGUGUUCAAAACCAGCCUGAGCAUCCCGCAGCCCCGUCUGACUUCUUCUCUGAGUGGAUGAUGCUGCUGUUCGGCCCGGUCACCGAGAGGAACGUGCUCUUCCUCUCCCUCCUGUUGCAGCGUCUGAGCUUCAGGCACCUCUCACCUCUUACCUGGGCUCCUGGAGGAGCUUCUGUUUGGUCUGCCCGACUCCCGCGUUGCCCCUUCAAAUCCCCCCUCCACUCCGCAGCCACCAUGACCCUCGCUGACCCCCGCUCUGCUGACGGCAGGUGCCCCCAAGUGUGUUUCCAAGAAGACGCAGUCAGUGUGCUGUAUUCAGUGUUAUAUGAACACAAAGGUUUUCAUGGUCAAUGAAGUUGGAGAAAAGAGGGAAAAUUAGUUAGGUUUAAUUACUUUCCAGAGUCUUCGACAUGCUAAAACACAUUUUGGAGCUCCAACUGGGGGGUGCUUAAUAAAACCUUUGGCAAACUUUCUAGCAACAAAGGUGUAGUUUUUUGGAAUACACUGGAUAUAGCUGUUCUACGAGCUGAAAUGUGAUUUCCUUGUCUUCUCUCAUUGCUUUUCAUCUCCAGCUGCUCUUCUUGUGUAGACAGUGGGAGGACAGCAGUGUGGUACUCUGGAUUCAAGAACAGGAAGCUCUAAAUCUCAGCACAAGACUUUGGGUCCAACUCUUUACUUCCUCAGCACACGUGCUGGCCAGGCCCCACUUGCCCCUGGCGAGGCCCAUCUCUACAGUCUGCACCAUCCAGGCCUCCCGUCCUCCGACUUCCAGCUGGGUUUGGCCAAUGGACAGCAGCGUUGGGAGACCAGUGGUGGGCAGCGGGGACGAGGGGGCAGGGUGGUCAGCACCCCCCUUGUACUGCAGUGUUUGGACCCUCUCCGGCUCCAGCUGUCUCACGUUCUGGGUAACUCUCUCCCUCCUCUUUCUCUUUUGACCCAGGGGUGAUAAUGGCUCCGAGCUGUCGCUAAUCCCUGGAGGUUUCAUCAUCUCGUGUUGUUCCUUUAGCUCUGUCCACACCUCUGUAAAUCGUCAUUCCUUAAACUCUCUUCAGUUAAACCCCUGAGUAUACCACCUGUUUCCUGCUGGAUCCCUGACAACACAGAACUUCAGUCUCCUCACAAAAUGCGGAUAGUGACCCCUCUCGCGGGGCUGUUGAGAGCAUUAGCCAAAGUUCACGAGCGUGCAGAGCUCCCAGCUCAGAGCCUGGAGUGCAGCAGGCUCACCAGAUGAGACGACGUCCCUGGGCCUGCUCCCUUCUGCCAACAGCCACACAUCUGGGAUCUUCCUGCUCCUGGCCAGUGACCCCAGCCGAAGUGGGCAAAGGGAAGCAAUGCCGGGCCCCAGUCUGAAGACACAGAGCUGCCACAGGGACCCGGGCUCCAGUCAGCGGCCACAGAACAGGGCUGACCUGCAGGUCCCAUCACAGGGCCACGGAACAGAGGGUCCUAACAAGGACCGGAGCGGCGAGGGUCGGGGUGUCCACGUGCUCUCGCUCCUCCUGGAAGAAAGCUGCCUUUGUACUGGGCCCGAUGGUCUGAGCGCCCACACUGGCCCAUUGUUCCCGAGGAGGAAGUCGUUCCAGUUCCCCCUCUACUCCUGGUCCCCCAUUAAAGUGAGCAAGGGGCCUGGAA